rnacentral:rRNA from 1 species
AAUCAACGCUGGCGGCGUGCCUAACACAUGCAAGUCGCACGAGAAAGGGGCUUCGGUCCUGAGUAAAGUGGCGCACGGGUGAGUAACACGUGACUAACCUACCCUCGAGUGGGGAAUAACCUAGAGAAAUCUGGGCUAAUACCGCAUAACACUUACGAGUCAAAGCAGCAAUGCGCUUGAGGAGGGGGUCGCGGCAGAUUAGUUAGUUGGCAGGGUAAUGGCCUACCAAGACGAUGAUCUGUAUCCGGCCUGAGAGGGCGCACGGACACACUGGAACUGAAACACGGUCCAGACUCCUACGGGAGGCAG